rnacentral:rRNA from 1 species
GACGAACCGAGCGAACGUUGUUCGGAAUCACUGGGCUUAAAGGGUGCGUAGGCGGGCUGCCAAGUUUGAGGUGAAAUCCUCCGGCUCAACCGGGGAAGUGCCUUGAAUACUGGCGGUCUGGAGGGAGGUAGGGGCGUGCGGAACUAACGGUGGAGCGGUGAAAUGCGUUGAUAUCGUUAGGAACUCCGGUGGCGAAGGCGGCACGCUAGACCUCUUCUGACGCUGAGGCACGAAAGCCAGGGAGCGAACGGG